rnacentral:rRNA from 2 species
UGGGGAAUAUUGCACAAUGGGCGCAAGCCUGAUGCAGCCAUGCCGCAUGUAUGAAGAAGGCCUUCGGGUUGUAAAGUACUUUCAGCGGGGAGGAAGGGAGUAAAGUUAAUACCUUUGCUCAUUGACGUUACCCGCAGAAGAAGCACCGGCUAACUCCGUGCCAGCAGCCGCGGUAAUACGGAGGGUGCAAGCGUUAAUCGGAAUUACUGGGCGUAAAGCGCACGCAGGCGGUUUGUUAAGUCAGAUGUGAAAUCCCCGGGCUCAACCUGGGAACUGCAUCUGAUACUGGCAAGCUUGAGUCUCGUAGAGGGGGGUAGAAUUCCAGGUGUAGCGGUGAAAUGCGUAGAGAUCUGGAGGAAUACCGGUGGCGAAGGCGGCCCCCUGGACGAAGACUGACGCUCAGGUGCGAAAGCGUGGGGAGCAAACAGG